GACGAACGCUGGCGGCGUGCUUAACACAUGCAAGUCGAACGGAAAGGCCCUGCUUUUGUGGGGUGCUCGAGUGGCGAACGGGUGAGUAACACGUGAGUAACCUGCCCUUGACUUUGGGAUAACUUCAGGAAACUGGGGCUAAUACCGGAUAGGAGCUCCUGCUGCAUGGUGGGGGUUGGAAAGUUUCGGCGGUUGGGGAUGGACUCGCGGCUUAUCAGCUUGUUGGUGGGGUAGUGGCUUACCAAGGCUUUGACGGGUAGCCGGCCUGAGAGGGUGACCGGCCACAUGGGGACUGAGAUACGGCCCAGACUCCUACGGGAGGCAGCAGUGGGGAAUAUUGCACAAUGGGCGGAAGCCUGAUGCAGCAACGCCGCGUGCGGGAUGACGGCCUUCGGGUGGGAAACCGCUUUCGCCUGUGACGAAGCGUGAGUGACGGUAAUGGGGAAAGAAGCACCGGCUAACUACGU
rnacentral:rRNA from 1 species